UAGGGAAUCUUCCGCAAUGGGCGAAAGCUUGACGGAGCAACGCCGCGUGAGUGAUGAAGGUCUUCGGAUCGUAAAACUCUGUUAUUAGGGAAGAACAAAUGUGUAAGUAACUAUGCACGUCUUGACGGUACCUAACCAGAAAGCCACGGCUAACUACGUGCCAGCAGCCGCGGUAAUACGUAGGUGGCAAGCGUUAUCCGGAAUUAUUGGGCGUAAAGCGCGCGUAGGUGGUUUUUUAAGUCUGAUGUGAAAGCCCACGGCUCAACCGUGGAGGGUCAUUGGAAACUGGAAAACUUGAGUGCAGAAGAGGAAAGUGGAAUUCCGAGUGUAGCGGUGAAAUGCGCAGAGAUAUGGAGGAAAACCAGUGGCGAAGGCGACUUUCUGGUCUGUAACUGACGCUGAUGUGCGAAAGCGUGGGAUCAAACAGG
rnacentral:rRNA from 1 species